rnacentral:rRNA from 1 species
UACGUAGGGUGCGAGCGUUGUCCGGAAUUAUUGGGCGUAAAGAGCUCGUAGGCGGUGUGUCACGUCGGCCGUGAAAACCUGCAGCUUAACUGUGGGCGUGCGGUCGAUACGGGCAUCACUGGAGUUCGGCAGGGGAGACUGGAAUUCCUGGUGUAGCGGUGAAAUGCGCAGAUAUCAGGAGGAACACCGGUGGCGAAGGCGGGUCUCUGGCCCGAUACUGACGCUGAGGCACGAAAGCGUGGGGAGCAAACAGG